AAAUACUGUAGCAAGACUGAAAGCGAUAACAACAGUAGCGCUCAUAAUGUAUCCGGCCAGAAAUUGAAAACCAAGUACGAUACUGUGCCCUGGAUUAGUAUCAACCGGAAUUUUAUAAGUUGGAAAGGUCCAUCAAUAGUUUUUCGCAACUUCGUUAAUAAAAAUUCGAAAUUGUCUAUAUUUAUACAACAAAAACGAUCAAAUUGCAAAUUGCAAUUCAGUGAUGAUAGAUAUCAUAAUGGAGUCAAGUAUCAUAUCAAUUGUAAAAUUUCGAAGAAGAAAUUGGACCGAGAAACUCGCAGUAGAAAAGAGAGAUCUGGGAUUUCACGAUCUUGUUAUCGAUCUUUUUGUUUUGAGAAAGAAGCAUAAUAAUAUAAAAAUCCCAAUAUAAAAACGAAAUAUAUAAAACUAACGCAGUUGAUGAAACUUUAAAUUUAUUUCAUCAACAAUAUUUUUGCAACUUCGUCAUAAGAAUUCAAAAUGGUCUAUAUCUUUGCAUAACAAAAACGGUCAAAUUACAAGCAUUCAAUGAUAGCAGAUAUUAUUGAACCAAGUAUUGCAUCAAUUGCAAAAUUUUGAAGAAGGGACUAGAUCGAGGAAUCCACGUUAACUGACCAGCAGCGUGGCAUGCAAAUACAGUAGCAAGGCUGAAAGCGAUAACAACGGUAGCACUCAUAAUGCAUCCUGUCAGAAAUUGAAAACCAAGAACGAUACUGUGCUCUAGAUUAGUAUCAACAGGAAUUUUGUAGGUUGGAAAAGCCCAUCGACCAGUCUCCGCAAUUUCGUCACAAAAAUUUGGAAUUGUAUAUAGGCGUGCAUAACGUGCAAAAACGGUAGUCAAACAAUAAGCAUCUGCAGUGAUGUAAUAUAUAACAAAUUUAGCCAAGCAUUGCAUUAAUUGCACAACUUCGAAAGAUUAAAGAAUAAUUUGUGGAUUGAAAAUCUAUUAAUAAAUAAGAGAUACCUGGGAUUUUAUGAUCUUGUUAAUUAUUUUUCUACGUUUCAUACUAAAACGCUAUUAUACAGUUAUAUAGAAAAUUCUUACGGAAUACAUGAAAUCAGCAUAGUUGA